UUCUUCUUCUUCACCUGAAAAUAUUUUGGUAUAUUUUGGUUGGAUUUUCUUCAUUUAAAAACAAUACAAAUUAGACUAACUUCUUUUGGUUGAUGAGAUCAAUGGGGUCGUCGAUUUUGACAAGCUUUGAACAGUCUCUCUUCUUGGCCAAAUCAAUCUCGGAUGCAAAUUCGAUGUGGAGAAGGUGAAUACACUGAACAUGGAUGGGAAAUUGGGAAGAAGAAGAAGAAGCGUUGGAUUUUGUAAAUAACGAAAGCUAAUUACAAGAAUGCUUACGUCACACUACGUAGCCCUUUGUCGAUUUCUAAGGAUUUGUUAGGAAGAGUAAAGUGAAACGUCGUCGUGGUGGUGAAAGAGAUAUUUCUCCGACGAGGGCUGGUGCUACGGUGACGCGGCGGCAACGGCCAUGUUUCCAGUUAGGGGGUCAUGAGUAGAUUAUUGUGAUCUGGGUUUGUGUUUCCUUUAGUUUUGAUUUUGUUUCGGUUAAAAAAGACGAGCUUGAUAGUGAAUCUGAAUCAUAUAAGCUAUAUCUCAAUUAGAGGUUCUGAGAUUUUGGCUAAUAAUAAUCUUAAUCAUAUGUGCUUUAA